GCACAACAGAUGUUCCUAAAUACUGGCUCACAGAGUGGUUUGUCUGCUUUACAAAUUGUGAGUAACUUCCUAUUUAUCAUUUUAUUUGGUUCUAUACAUACAGAGAGCACUAUUGUUUUCAUUUUUUUUUAUUCUAUGGUUACUGUCUACAUCAUAUAUAUACUACAAGUGGGGAUCUAUACCACUGAACGCUGUCUAUGCUACACCUGGUUAUAGCUCUAACAAAUGUGAGCAAGCCAUUACUAUAUGCUGCACAAGUUCUGUUUGUCUUGAAAUACUGCACCAUUGGAUCCUCUGUUUUGCGAUCUACUUUGUAUGUCCAUACAGAUUUCAUCAAUAAACAAGAACCUCUACUGUGUUUCCUCUAAGAAGAAAAGAUUGUUUACUUUGAUAAUUCUGUUGUGCUCUGCCUUCUUUCAAGUGGUAUUCAAAUUUUUUUUACCUUUAUAUGUAG